AGUGAACGCUGGCGGUAGGCCUAACACAUGCCAGUCGAACGGCAGCACAGUAAGGCUUUGCUCUUGGGGGUGGCGGGUGGGGGGGGGGUGAAAAAUACAGCAACAUCCCCUUUUUCGGGGGGGAUCGCGGGGAAACUCUUACGAUAACCCCACAUACCACCCGGGGGUAAAAGGGGGGGCUCAUCACCCCUUGCGCUGGUGAAUGCGCCGAUGUCGUAUUAGCUAGUGGGGGGGGUGGGGGCCCACCAAGGCGACGAUCCGUAGCUGGUCUGAGAGGAUGAUCAGCCACACUGGAACUGAGACACGGUCCAGACUCCUACGGGAGGCAGCAGUGGGGAAUAUUGGACAAUGGGCGCAAGCCUGAUCCAGCCAUACCGCGUGGGUGAAGAAGGCCUUCGGGUUGUAAAGCCCUUUUGUUGGGAAAGAAAUGCUUCAGGCUAAUACCCUGGGAGGAUGACGGUACCCAAAGAAUAAGCACCGGCUAACUUCGUG
rnacentral:rRNA from 1 species